CGCAAGCCUGACGGAGCAAGACCGCGUGGGGGAGGAAUGCCUUAGGGUUGUAAACCCCUUUUAUCUGGGAAGAACAAAAUGACGGUACCAGAUGAAUAAGCCUCGGCUAACUCCGUGCCAGCAGCCGCGGUAAUACGGAGGAUGCAAGCGUUAUCCGGAAUCAUUGGGCGUAAAGAGUCCGUAGGUGGCUAAUCAAGUCCGAAGUUAAAGACAGAAGCUAAACUUCUGGAAAGCAGCGGAAACUGAAGAGCUAGAGUGUAGGAGAGGUAGAGGGAAUUCCCAGUGUAGCGGUGAAAUGCGUAGAUUUCGGGAAGAACAUCGGUGGCGAAAGCGCUCUGCUGGGCCGCAACUGACACUCAGGGACGAAAGCUAGGGGAGCG
rnacentral:rRNA from 1 species